rnacentral:pre_miRNA from 1 species
CGUGCAUCGGUGGGGUCCCUUGGCCUGGCCUGCACCCUCUCCCAAUCUGGGACCCCUCAGGGGUAGUCGGAGAGCUGGUUUCAAUCCGAUCCCGCAGGCCAGGCCAAGGGACCCCACUGGUGCACG